CCCGUUGAAUUUGACAACAAAUUCCAGGGAAGACCCCCGGCUACCUUCGUGCCUUCAGCCGCGGUAAUACGAAGGGGGCGAGCGUUGUUCGGAAUUACUGGGCGUAAAGGGCGCGUAGGCGGUCUUUUAAGUUAGGCGUGAAAGCCCCGGGCUCAACCCGGGAACUGCGCUUAAGACUGGAAGACUAGAAAACGGAAGAGGGUAGUGGAAUUCCCAGUGUAGAGGUGAAAUUCGUAGAUAUUGGGAAGAACACCAGUGGCGAAAGCGGCUACCUGGUCCGAUUUUGACGCUGAGGCGCGAAAGCGUGGGGAGCAAACAGGAUUAGAUACCCUGGUAGUCCACGCCGUAAACGAUGUCUGCUAGAUGUCGGGGGGUUGCCCCUCGGUGUCGCCGCUAACGCAUUAAGCAGACCGCCUGGGAAGUACGGUCGCAAGAUUAAAACUCAAAGGAAUUGACGGA
rnacentral:rRNA from 1 species